AUGGUAUCACUACUCGUGCUUGCAGUGCUUGUGUUGCCGCCGGUGCCGGCAACAACUGCCACGGUGACUACGGCUAGAAGAAACUGCCCCGACACCUGUGGUUAUCACCUCAUACCUUUUCCGUUCGGAGUAGGUCCUUCAUGCUCCUUGCCUGGUUUUAAUCUCACUUGUGCUGUCGACAAGCAGACCAAUGACAGUCAUCCCAUGCUGGGCAACUCAAUGUUGGAGGUCAGUUUCCCUUCCGAUGUACCCGACUCCUACCUGUUCACCACCAGUAUCUCAUACACCGUGAAGAUGAUUCCCGGUGUACGCGACUACUCCAUCCACUGGGAAGCUCCAGCUAGGCCCUUUGCCAUAUCUGGCUGGUCAAACAUAUCCUUGUUCGUUGUUGGCUGCGGCGUCAGGGCUUCACUGUUCAUUGAUAACUCGGCCGUUGAGGCCGGGAACUGUUCCGUCGUCUGUGCAGAAGCUCAAGUCAUGGAGAAGCUAACUGUGGGAACGUGUGAUGCCAUGGUUGGCCUCGGAUGCUGUUUCAUUGAUAUACAAGUGAACCUAAGGGCGUUCACUCUGGACAUCUCGCGCAUCAACGGCUCUCCAAGCUCAAAACAAGUGCAAGCCUACAUGGGCGAUAGUAUGGACCCAAGUUUCACCCCGAUUGGUGCAUACUCUGGGUUUCAAUACUCAGGAACAGUUCAGCUGGAUUGGUCUAUUCCCUACCAGCCCAAGUUGCCCAACUGCAAGCGCGCCAUGGAGGACAAGGAGAGCUAUGCCUGCAUUAGCAACCACAGCAAGUGCGAGGACUCGCCAAUCGGUGGAUACAUUUGCUAUUGCCAGUCGGGCGCCAUGGAGGGCAACGCUUACGUAUAUGGCGGCUGCCAUAACCCACCAGCUUAUGAUUCCAUCCAGCCAAGAGCGGAUUGUCCCACAUCAUGCAAUAACGUGAGCACCCCAUUCCCCUUCGGAACAGAACUAGGCUGCUUCACCAAGCCCCAUCUCUACCUCAAAUGUAUCCCAACAGCCGCCCUUCCCGUCCUUCAGUUGACCGAUCGAACGCUCGUCACUGACAUAUCUAUUGGCGGCGGUGUAUUACAAAUUCAUGGGAUAUCGGAGCCAGAUGAUUUCAUGUCUGACUCGGACCACCCGCUCUAUGCCUUAUCUGGAGAGGGAGAAAGGCGCAUGGUGAAGUGGGCUAUUGAUAACAUGACAUGCGAGCAUGCAAAGAUGAACAAGAGCGACUACAGAUGCUUCAGCACCCACAGCGACUGUGUUGAUGUAACUGACGAUAGAACACUCAGACAUAUCGGUUACCGGUGCAAGUGCUCUUCUGGUUUUGAAGGGAAUCCUUACCUUCAAGAUGCAUGCACAGAUACCAACGAGUGCCAUCAGCCAGAUAAAUACAUCUGCAAGGGUAUCUGCCAGAAUAGUUUCGGAAGUUAUACAUGCACCAGUUGUCCUCGUGGAACAGAUUUCAAUAGCGUCAUGGGAAAAUGCAAACCAACUACUAUAAUAUUAGGUGUUACUAUUGGACUAAGCAGUGGUGGAGGCAUUCUGUUUCUUGCUGCAAUUGUUGCUAUUCUAACUCGGAGAUGGAAGGGAAAUGUUCAGAAACGUUUGAGAAAGAGGCAUUUCCGUAAGAACAGAGGCAUUCUGCUAGAACAGCUGAUCUCUUCAGAUCAAAGUGCUAGCGAUGCUGGCACAAAGAUAUUCUCCCUGGAGGAGCUGCAAAAGGCAACCAAUAAUUUCGAUCACACCCGUGUGAUCGGACGUGGUGGCCAUGGCACUGUCUAUAAGGGCAUUCUGACCGACCAGCGAGUGGUGGCCAUCAAGAAAUCAACGCUUGCCAUGAUCAGCGAGAUCAAUGAGUUCAUCAACGAGGUCUCCAUCCUAUCGCAGAUCAACCACCGGAAUGUGGUAAAGCUCCAUGGAUGUUGCCUAGAAUCUGAGGUCCCUCUGCUCGUCUACGAGUUCGUCUCCAACGGGACGCUCUACGACCUUCUGCACCGCGAGCAGAAUGGUAGCUUGUCGCCUUUGUCCUGGGAGGAGCGCCUGAGGUUUGCCACCGAGAUCGCGGGUGCGCUCUCGUACCUGCACUCUGCGGCUUCCGUGUCGAUCCUACACAGAGACGUCAAGUGCAUGAACGUGCUCCUGACGGACAGCCACACCGUAAAGGUUUCAGACUUCGGCGCAUCGAGGUUGAUCCCGAUCGACCAGACACACCUAGUCACUGCCGUUCAGGGCACGUUUGGGUACCUAGAUCCGGAGUAUUACCACACCGGUCAGCUCAACGAAAAGAGCGAUGUUUAUAGUUUUGGAGUGAUACUCGUUGAGCUGCUGACGAGGAGGAAGCCGAUCAUUCAGAACGAGCAUGGCGAGAAGCAGAAUCUGUCGAACUACUUCUUGUGGGCUAUGAGGGAGAGGCCCCUCGAGGAGACAAUGGAUCCCCAGAUCCUCGAGGAAGCGAGCAAGGAAGGUGUUAUGUGCAUGGCUCGGUUGGCGGAGGAGUGCCUAUGUCUGACACGAGCGCAGAGGCCUACCAUGAAGGACGUGGAGAUGAGGCUGCAGCUCCUGACGGGGCGCCGUGUUGCACCGAGGGUGGAGCAAGGCGAAGUUGCACAGCCUCACUCUGAAGCUGCAGGAAACAAUGGGCGUGGUGGCAUUGCUCCGUUGAUUGGUCAGAACAGCUCACGUCAGUUCAGCCAAGAGCAGGAGUUCGUGUCGUCUCUGCUUGUACCACGGUAG
rnacentral:rRNA from 1 species